CCCUUGAUGCCAAAAACCCUACAAAGGUAGUGCUUAUGGUAUUGGAAAGUAAAAACACAGAUGCCCAUUCCCUCCCAAUCCAUCUAGGCCUCUGACUGCAAAAUCCUCUCACUUCUGGCAGCAAAUCACAACAGAUUGUUGGGUUUGAGAUACAAGUCAAAACAGGCCCCAAUAACAGAGAUGUUCUGUCCUCUCCAAUCAAGAGAAUGCAUGCUACGCAACUCCCAAUAGAUCUUGUAGAACACAGACACUUUUGAAAUACUAUCUACAAUAUUUUAAAUAAGAAUGUGAUGGAAAGUAACUUAAAUGAAU